rnacentral:tRNA from 1 species
GCUGACGUGGCACAGUAGGUAGCGCACCGCAUUGGUAGUGCGGAGGUCAUGGGUUCGAUUCCCGUCGUCAGCA